GACGACCGCUGGCGGCGUGCUUAACACAUGCAAGUCGAACGGAAAGGCCCUGCUUUUGUGGGGUGCUCGAGUGGCGAACGGGUGAGUAACCCGUGAGUAACCUGCCCUUGCCUUUGGGAUAACUUCAGGAAACUGGGGCUAAUACCGGAUAGGAGCUCCUGCUGCAUGGUGGGGGUUGGAAAGUUUCGGCGGUUGGGGAUGGACUCGCGGCUUAUCAGCUUGUUGGUGGGGUAGUGGCUUACCAAGGCUUUGACGGGUAGCCGGCCUGAGAGGGUGACCGGCCACAUUGGGACUGAGAUACGGCCCAGACUCCUACGGGAGGCAGCAGUGGGGAAUAUUGCACAAUGGGCGGAAGCCUGAUGCAGCAACGCCGCGUGCGGGAUGACGGCCUUCGGGUUGUAAACCGCUUUCGCCUGUGACGAAGCGUGAGUGACGGUAAUGGGUAAAGAAGCACCGGCUAACUACGUG
rnacentral:rRNA from 1 species